rnacentral:siRNA from 1 species
AGAGCCGCCGUUUCGAUUUGCUUU